GCCGCCCAGGGCCCGUCAGGUCAUGGCAGCCAAGGUCCCUCCGCCUGUGUGUGAAGGGGGGGCAGGCUGGGGGCCCCCCGUGGCCAACUGGAGGCGCCCUAGGACAGGCGGGUCGGGCGCACAGCAGCCCCGCGAGCUCAGCCCGGCCGUCCCGCCUUAGCCAGUACCUCAUGCCUCAGACAGCAGCGCCCCCCCCACACCUCGGCCUCUGGCGGGGAGCCCCGACCCGCGCCCCGGGGCAGAGGCCCAGCGCGGCACCCCACGGUUCUGAGCCGCAGCAGCUCCGUUAGGAAGGAAGCGCCGGGGCUUAGAAACGCCUCCUGCCGUGGCAGGCGUGUGCGCCCCUUGCAAUGCCAGUGAUAGCCAGCGCGUGUGUAGGCUUUACAGAGGAGAGUAGCCCUGUUUUACAGAUGGGGAAACUGAGGCACGGAGAGGUGAAAUGACUUGCCCAAGGUCACUCAGCAGGCGGGUGGCAGAGCUAGGAAUAAAGCCCAGGUCAACUGAGUUCUGGUUCAUUAGGUCACGCUGCCUGUGUUACUGCAUGUUUUUGUAAGCAUUUCAGUGCAUGUCUACUCAAGGACUUUCUACAGCACCAAAGCUUAGCAAUCAGGAGUCAAUGCACUAUUUCUUUAGGUCCUGGAUGAAUAAUAUUAACUUUGAACAGAUAACUGGCACCUCCAUGCCAGGGAUCCAGUGGCAUCCUCUGCUACCAUCCUCUGGUUUGUCAGCAUUGCAGUUUUUGGGACAAGGGAUUGCCAUCUACAACCUUUUGAAACCACAAUUCCGGACAGCCUUAGCCUGCAUGUGGAGGAAGAGGAGGCAACUAAAGAAGGAGACCAUUCUAAAGAGCUGAAUAUGUUUACUCAGAAGAGGACUAAAAAGAAAAAUCUCUAGAUCUGCCCGGGCAGGGAAGAGGCACUCUCGUCACUAAAAUAUUGAAGAGCGUUUUCUUCCUGAGAAUUGGUUUGGUGAACUUGGUGGGACACAUCUUAAUUGUCAGCUCUCUGGAUUUGACUUCAUAGAGCACCUUGCACACGCUGGAUGCUAUAAAAGCCAGCAAAAAAUACUGUGGAAAGCUGUGUCAUGGGAGGGGAUGGAAGAAGAUAGGGCCUUGUGUCACUAGAGCACCCCCUCUUCCUACUAAAGAAUGGCGAUGAUGGGCUCAGAAGGGAAUCCUGUUCUCUUUAGCUGUAAGAAAGAAAUAUUACAACAUAAUCUCUCACUUUCAAGUACUGUGUGCUGAUGAUGGCUGGUGUUCAAUGGGGCACAGAAGGAAUUUUCAUGGAUGUUUGUGAACAUCAUUCAGAUGAAACAUUAAAUGUUGAUCAGACUGGAAAUACGAUCAUCCACAUUUUUGCUCUAUGUGUGAGCAUUGUGCGAGUUGUUACAUUGCUGUACACUGCUACGUGUACCAUGCUGUGCUAUCAACUUAGACAAAUCCAAGUAGUUGUAAUUAGAUGUGGAUAAAAUUUCAGCUCUGUCAACUCAAUUAGCACCAUGUCCAUAGACUUCCAGUCAAAAUGAACUGUUUACAAGAUUCAAGUCAAACACAUUAUACGAAGCCUGUUCCUCCUAAAAAAGGAAUUUUCAUACUCAUAUAUAAAUCAAUGGCAUUUAUUUUUAUAGCAUGAAUUGUACCUACAUAUGAUUUUUCAUUCCUGGCCCUUUUCUUCUAAGUGGCUCUAUUCUCCCUUUCCCACAAUUUCACUAUUAGCUAAUCUUAUAUUUUUGUAUCACAGAGCUUUACCCUUCUUUCUCUGUUCUUCUUUUAUCUCUUGUUUUUGCUCCUCCUUUCCCUUUCUUGUUUUUGCCUGUUCUAUUAUCUGAAUUUUCUUCAGAUCUUUCAGUCCUCUCCAGAACAUCUUUUUCUUAAUUAGAUCAGGAUAUGCCCAUGGCAGAUUGCUGUACUGAUUUGAUAUCAGGUUACAAUAGCAGCUCUAGAUAAGGCAUUUUGCUUAAACAGAUUUACAUAAAGGAUUAGAUUUCUGGGUGGUACUGCAAAUUUUUAGCAUCUAUACCAACAUAAGAUAACUAAACUGCCAACAUACUAUUGUUCCACGCACUGGUUCUUGUGUCUCCAACAUUUCACGGCUAAGUGAUGAGCAUGCAGUAAAAAUGAAACUAAAGGCUCAGCCAACAGGCUAGUAGCUUGAAGCCAUCGAAGUUUUAGUUUGCCUUUACUAGAAGGUUAACUUGCUCUUAAUCUUGAUUGGAUUGGCAGGAAAUUAACAAGAACAGACACAAACCUUUCAUGAGUCAUGUCCUGGUCAUGGGACAGUGAGGCAGCUGCCUCGCUCAGUGGUAUAGGGCAGACUGCUGGUUAGCUUGCCAUCUUUGUUAACUCAGUGUGUCCCUAGUGAGAACUAUGGCUUACCAGCUCAGACCCAGCAUGUGCUUAACUUUAACACAGAGGCUGAACUAUUUGCUCACUUUUAGCAUUGGACCUUUCUGGAAAAGAAUGGAUGCAUCAGGUGAUGAAACUUUGCAUCGGGAAUUUUAGCAUGUAAAAUCUUUAUCAAAGAGAAAGAUGAUGGAAAUCAGCAUGUUAGCUGUCUAUGCAGACUUCCUGAAGGUGGCCAUUUUGAAUUCUAUAUAUUUUGUUUUUUAACAACAUUUCAAAAGAAUGUUUGAAACUAUCAAUUACUUGUGAGAGGAGAGAGCGUGAGUCUAAAGGCCAUGAUAACCCUCAUUGGCUUUUCCCCUGUGUACCUCUUUAUAAUAAUUAAUAAUGUUUAGUGCUGUCUUUUCCAUUUCAUAAAUCAAUGGCACAUACAUAAUUCAUGCAACCCAGAAUGGAUUUAUAUAAAGGGCAGGAGGCAGUGGUUCAGGACUGAAGGAGAGUCACACCAUUCUAGAGUGUGUGGAUGCUUUAAAGUACAUCCAGGCAGCAUGGGGUCCGCCAUGUAACUGAGUGAGUGUAGGUCACUUUGGCAAAGGAGAUUAUUUAACCCGGGAAUGGAACAUGCAUAAUAUGUCCAAAAGUUACCUCUCCAUUUUUUGUGACAUCCAGUAGGAAAGGAGUCUUCUUCACUGCAGAGUGCACAGGGAACUAAUUGCACUCUUUAAAUACCGGUACUGAAGGAAAGGAGAUGGAAUGCUUUUUGGUCAUGAUGCUUUGAUAACUACUUCUGCUAUCCCUGUUCUGCAUUCAUGUCAUUGAUGUUGGUGUCAAUGCAUGUGCUGUCAAGCAAUCAGGCACAUAUGACCCUGUAUCCAGAUAGUGACAGCUAUUUUCAGUACCCAGAAAAUGGGACUACUGGUGAUGGUCACUAUUUGGCCAGUCAGGACAAAUGGGGCUUCAGCAUUUCAUUGUGAAUUACAAAUGUAGAGACUUCAGUUUGGAACAAGCCUGUACUGCAUUAAUAUCUUUGAAAAUUGAAUAAGGGAUCUAACUGGGACUAAGACUUCUGUCUCUAUGCCAAGAGUAAAUAUAUUUGCCCAAGGAAAAAACAGCCGGAAUAGAAGGUGGCACAUGCCUGAAAUUCAACCAUGUUUGUGCCUUAUGCAUUGGAUAACGUCCAGUUUAUUGCAGAGAUUGCACAACUUAGUUUUUUAAAAUCAUUGAAUUUGAUGGUUUUGAAUUUGCAUGUCUUGCUCAUUUGUACCAGAUCUUCCCUGUUUGAUAUUAUUUAUGCUUCCUGUUGAGCAGUGUGAAUUCAAGGUUGUAGUGAAAUCAUCUGAAAUUGGAUUUAUACAGUUUUGGGUCCAAUCACAAUAAAGAUGAAGAGCUUCAGUACCUUUGUGAAACAAUCUGGUGUGUGAUGACGAUAAUGCCUACAUUGUGCUUUUCUUCAAGGCACUUAGCUGGCAACUAGAUCUUCACAACAAUCUUGUGGUGUUAUCCACAUUUUUACAGAUAUGAGGAAAAUGAGAGGCAGUUAAGUCAUCUGCCCAAAACCACAAUGGAAGUUGAUGUCAGAGCUAAGAUUAGCACCAGCAGUUCCUGGUUUCUGGUUCUGUACUCAGUCGACUGGAUCAAACCACUUCUAUUGCUGAUUGGCGCCGAGUUUAUCUGUCUCUUUUAUUUCUAAUUGUGCUGAUCACAUAUUAUGUAAGCAAAUAUACUUGACAGAUUUCUUCAUGAGAAAUAUUAAUCCUUGUGCAUUUGUGGGCAAUCCAUGUUAUAAUGAACAAAAGCACACUUCAGAUAUUUAGUUGAAUUGAUUACCUGUAUGUUUUACAAAAUGUUUAUCGCUGGCAUAACUAGAAGGUUAAUGAUCCCUAAAGUAUUAUCCCGGUUUAUAGAUACUGCAUUUGGGGCAAUAAAUGUUAACCUUUGAACAUUUGCUUCUGCAAAUAAAAUUCAGCCUCAUUUUGUGUACUUAACAACCUCUGAUUGGAAACACAUAGCAACCUAUAGCAAGCAAGCUUUCAGCAAACUGGAACAGAAAUGAGGUAGGUCUUCAAAGUGAUCACUUAUCUUCCUCAAUAACUCUUCUGCAUGUAAACAAGAUAAAACAGGCUGUUUUGCCAGAUCCCUCAUUCUUUGAAUGGCAUGUUUGUCUAGUUAUAAAGAACAAGCGAUUGUGCUUGGGUAUAUUUUUCCUUUCAUACAGAAGCCUUUGAGUUAGAGGCUUGAGUUUCUCUUCCUUUAAUCCUGCAAUGGAAUUUUAAAGCACUUCACAGAGAUGUGAAGAAAGAGUAGGUAACUAUGAACUUGAUCCUGCAGGGCGUGGGGCACCUUUUUGCAUGAUGCUGAACACCUUCAUGUUCUGUUAGUAUCAAUAAUAGUUGAGGGCAGUUAGGACUUUGCCUAAGUAUCUGAGCACCUUAUUGGUCCUGAAGUUACUGUAUGGAGGCACAGUAGGAAGAUUCUUUUCCUUUACACAGUGUUAGAAUUUUCAGAUUUAGAAUUUCAAAAUGUUUUACUGUUUUGAUCUCUGUAGUUUACUUGUGUGUGUGUCUCCCUUUUCUUUAGAAGAGUCCUCUUUUCUCUGUCUGUUGGAAAUCAAGUGAGCUCAAGCUUAAAAUAUAAAGAAGAAAUACCAUAUACAGUGGAGUCUGUACACAGUAUAUGUACAAUUUUCCUUUAAUUUAAAGUAGCAUGGCUGUUGUUUGCAUUUCUGAUGGGCAUAUCUGGAAGAUAAUAUGUCUUGAUAUGGUUGACAUAGUUAGCAAUGCAAAUGAUAAAUCACUUUGGUAGCAGAAUGCUGUAAUCAAGAGCCUGCAUCCAAAGCACAUUGAAAUCAGUAGGAUUCUUUCCACUGACUUCAGUGGACUUUAGACCCUGUCUCAGUAUGCCAGUAUAGACUGAUUAGAGUAACUUCUUACAUAUUUCAAUGGUAAGUGAUAAAUUCACCAUUUUCAGGUACCAAAUAUUGGAUAUGAAAUGCAAAUCCAGAUAAUA